ACCAGUCCAGUCCGUCAAUGAACUCGUAUUUAACGACGUGGGUAGGUAAGAUUUCUUAGAAUGAGAUCUCAUGAAUACUCUGUAAAUCCCCAAGAUAUGAUUGUUUUAUUCGAAUUCUACGUGCAUUCCUAAGAACCAAUACAAAAGAUAAGAUACCUUGCUCAUAUAAAUUAGACUUGUUGUCGAUCAAGUGCUAGUACAAUAUCAGAAUAAAAUGGGAAAGUUUAUUUUCAAUAUCAUCGUUACUUUGCUAGUAUUGGCAGUCUUGGUGGCCAUUGCCACUAGUGUACCAGUUGAUCCUAAGCCAGUAAGGGUCGGUAGCCCUGGUCAGUAUGGUUACUGCUUUUAUCCUUACGUGAACGUGAGAGGAACAUGUGUUAAGUUAUUUCCUUGAGGAAAAAUAAGGCACAUCCGAUACCUCAAAGAAGUAAAAAGUGUUGAAAAUUCCAUUAUGUGUAAUUUUUGACGAAUUAAACCAUAAUUUCCUCUGUA